AUUGAACGCUGGCGGCAGGCCUAACACAUACAAGUCGAGCGGAUGAAGGGAGCUUGCUCCUGGAUUCAGCGGCGGACGGGUGAGUAAUGCCUAGGAAUCUGCCUGGUAGUGGGGGAUAACGUCCGGAAACGGGCGCUAAUACCGCAUACGUCCUGAGGGAGAAAGUGGGGGAUCUUCGGACCUCACGCUAUCAGAUGAGCCUAGGUCGGAUUAGCUAGUUGGUGGGGUAAAGGCCUACCAAGGCGACGAUCCGUAACUGGUCUGAGAGGAUGGUCAGUCACACUGGAACUGAGACACGGUCCAGACUCCUACGGGAGGCAGCAGUGGGGAAUAUUGGACAAUGGGCGAAAGCCUGAUCCAGCCAUGCCGCGUGUGUGAAGAAGGUCUUCGGAUUGUAAAGCACUUUAAGUUGGGAGGAAGGGCAGUAAGUUAAUACCUUGCUGUUUUGACGUUACCAACAGAAUAAGCACCGGCUAACUUCGUG
rnacentral:rRNA from 1 species